GAUAGCCAUAGAUAAUAAAGGGAUUGAGAGUGGGAUUUGUGACAACUCUGACAUCAUGAAUUGUUGAGUCAUAUAUUCCUCCCCAAAACAUCGCUUUUCCCACCAAUAAUAAGGCUGCUAUGCCUAAAAAUAGGAGGUGAUGACCCAAAAUCAAUCCUAGUUGUUUGUGAUCAUUCCA
rnacentral:antisense_RNA from 1 species